rnacentral:miRNA from 1 species
AAUCAACAGUCGUACUCAAGACCUCAAGACUCAAGAAGCAGAAGAGAGCAGUGUAGAAAAAUGUCCAUGUUUCGACAACUGUAUUCGAG